GGCUGUACAUGAUGACUUGAAAUAAUCAAUGGGAAUCUCUCUGAAAAAAGACUGAGGGAAAUCUUCUACUCCUGAUACAGUG